GGAAGGAUCAUUACCGAG
rnacentral:rRNA from 1 species